CCACGUAAUCAGCAGCAGGUUCCCGAUGACUCGCUGCUGACUGUCAUGCAUCAUCAAUGAUCAGCAAUCUAAUCAGCAUAUGGUCGUGUUUAUGCCAGGAAAACAUAAUCUGCAGCAGUUUGACGAUGACUCGCUGCUGACUGUCCUGCAUCAUCAAUGAUCAGCAAUCUAAUCAACAUAUGGUCCUGUUUAUCCCAGGACAAUAAAAACAAGCCUUGAGUGACCA